ensembl:lncRNA
GUGAGGAAUGAUCUCUUCCUGGAGGUUGCUCCUUGUGGAGUUUUUGUGAGCCUACAAUGCCAAGAGAAGCUGGAUUGAAUGACUGGAUGCUGGAUACACAGGACUAACCCAAGGCUGUGAGCUUCAUCAGGAUGCUUUAGUGUUCAUUGUCCCUGGAGAAAGCCUGCUGCUCGGAUCCUGGUGCUUCCCCCAAGGAUUUUGGUUUUGUGGGUGCUACUGGCUCCAGGAUCCUGAGCAGAAACUCAAGCACAGCUGCAACAUGGCAUAUGUGAGCAUGAUUUCCAUCAGUUUUAUGUGGUUUAAAGAACAAA